UACAGAGGGGGCAAGCGUUGUUCGGAAUUACUGGGCGUAAAGGGCGCGUAGGCGGCCUUCUAAGUCGAACGUGAAAUCCCCGGGCUCAACCCGGGAACUGCGUCCGAUACUGGAAGGCUUGAAUCCGGGAGAGGGAUGUGGAAUUCCAGGUGUAGCGGUGAAAUGCGUAGAUAUCUGGAGGAACACCGGUGGCGAAGGCGACACCCUGGACCGGUAUUGACGCUGAGGCGCGAAAGCCAGGGGAGCAAACGGG
rnacentral:rRNA from 1 species